rnacentral:lncRNA from 1 species
UCUCCCUAACAGAUUAAACAAGGUCCCAGUUGUAUACAAAUGAUAUUUUACCAAGCAUAGUUUAUGUUGGAAGUGGUUGUUCUUUUAUUUACGCCCCUCUCCCUAAAGAUAAAACAAGUCCAUGUUGUAUACAAAUAUAUUUUUACCAAAGCAUAUUUAUGUUGAAUGUUUUCCUUUAAUUUUUCCCCGCUCUCCCUAACAGAUUCAAACAAUCCAUGUUGUAUACAAAUGAGUAUUUUACCAAGGCAUAUUUAUGUUGAAAGGUUUUCUUUUAUUUACGCCCCCUCUCCCUAACAGAUAAAACACGUCCAUGUUGCUAUACAAAUGAUAUUUUACCAAGCAUAUUUAUGUUGGAAGUGUUUUCUUUUAGUUUCCCCGUUCUCCCCCCCAUAACAGGAUUAAACAAGUCCAAUGUUGUAUACAAAUGAUGAUGUUUACCAAGGCAUAUUUAUGUUGGGAAGUGUUUUCUUUUAUUUACGCUCCCUUUCCCUAACAGAUUAACAAGUCCAUGUUGGUUAUACAAAUGAUAUUUUACCAAGGCAUAUUUAUGUGGAAGUGUUUUCUUUUUAUUUACGCUCCCUUUCCCUAACAGAUUAAACAAUCCAUUGUUGUAUACAAAUGAUAUUUUACCAAGCAUAUUUAUGUUGGAAGUGUUUUCUUUUAUCUACGCUCCCUCUCCCUUACAGAAUUAAACAAGUCCAUGUUUAUACAAAAUAAUAUUUUACCAAGAUAUUUUAUGUUGAAGUGUUUUCUUUUAUUUACGCCCCUCUCCCUAACAAUUAAAACAAGUCCAUGGUUAUCAAAUGAUAUUGUACCAAGGCAUAUUUAGUUGAAGUGUUUUCUUUUAUUUUCACCAAACGCCAUCUACCUAAACAGAAAUUAAACAAGGAUCCAUGUUGUAUACAAAUGGUAUUACAAAGGCAUAUUGAUGUUGGAAGUUUUCUUUUAGUUAGCCCCCCUCUCACCUAACAGAUUAACAAGAUCCCAUGGAUGUAAUACAAAUGAAUAUAUAUUACCAAGGCUAUUUAUUGUUGGAGUGUUUCUUUAUAUUUACAGCCACCCCUCUCCCUAACAGAUUAAAACAAGUCCAUGUUGUAUACAAAUGAUAUGUUACCAAGACAGUAUUUAUGUUGGAAGUGUUUAUCUAUUUAUGUUACGCUCCCAUCUCAUAACAGAAUUAAACAAGGUCCAUGUUGUAUACAAAUGAUAUUUACCAAGGCAAUUUAUGUGGAAAAGUUUGUCUUUAUAUUUACCCCCUUUCACCUAACAGAUUAAACAAGCAUCCAUGGUAGAUAUACAAAAUGAUAUUUUACCAAUGACACAUAUGUGGAAGUGUUUUCUUUGUUCACCCCUCUCCCUAACAGAUUAAACAUGUCCAUGUUGUAUACAAAUAUCAUUUUACCAAGACAUAUAUAUGUGAGAGUGUUUGCGUUUUAUUUACGCCCCCUCUCCCUUACAGAUUAAAACAAGUCCAUGUUGUAUACAAUGGUAUUUUACCAAGGCAUAUUUAUGUUGAAGUGUUUUCUUUAUUUACGCCCCCUCUCCCCAACAGAUAAAACAAGUCCAUGUUGUAUACAAAUGAUAUUUUACCAAGGCAGAUUUAUGUUGGAAGUGUUUUCUUUUAUUUACGCUCCCUCCCCCUAACAGAUUAAACAAGUCCAUGUUGUAUACAAAUGAUAUUUUACCAAGGCAUAUUUAUGUUGGAAGUGUUUUUUUUUCUUUACGCUCCCUCUCCCUAACAGAUUAAACAAGUCCAUGUUGUAUACAAAUGAUAUUUUACCAAGGCAUAUUUGAUGUUGGAAGUGUUUUCUUUUAUUUACGCCCCAUCUCCUACAGAUAAACAAGUCCAUGUUGUAUACAAAUGAUAUUUACCAAGCAUAUUUAUGUUUGGAAGUGUUUUCUUUUAUUUACGCUCCCUUUCGCCUAACAGAUUAAAACAAGUCCAUGGUUGUAUACAAAUGAUAUUUACCAAGCAUAUUUAUGUUGGAAGUGUUUUUUCUUUUAUCUACGCUCCCUUCGUCCCUUACAUAUUAACAAGUCCGAUGUUUGUAUACAAAUGGAUAUUUUACCAAGGCUAUUUAUGUGGAAGUGGGUUUCUUUUAUUUACGCCCCUCUCCCUAACAGAUUAAACAAUCCAUGCUGUAUACAAAUGAUAUUUUACAAGGCAUAUUUAUGUUGGAAGUGUUUUCUUUUAUUUCCCUUCUCCCUAACAAUUAAUCAAGUCCAUGGUUUACAAAUGAUAUUUUACCAAGAUUAUUAUGUGAAGUGUUUUCUUUAGUUACGCCCCCUCUAACCUAACAGAUUGAACAACGUCCAUGGGUAUACAAUAUAUUUACCAAGGCAGAUUUAUGUUGGAAGUGUUUUCUUUUAUUUACGCUCCCUCCCCCUAACAGAUUAAACAAGUCCAUGUUGUAUACAAAUGAUAUUUUACCAAGGCAUAUUUAUGUUGGAAGUGUUUUUUUUUCUUUACGCUCCCUCUCCCUAACAGAUUAAACAAGUCCAUGUUGUAUACAAAUGAUAUUUUACCAAGCAUUAUUAAUUUAUGUUGGAAAGUGUUUUUAUUUACGCCCCCUUUCCCUAACAAGAUUAAACAAGUCCAUGGUGUAUACAAAUGAUAUUUUACCAAUGCAUACAUAUGUUGAAGUGUUUUCUUUUAGUACGCCCCCCUCUCCCUAACGAUAAACAUGUCCAUGUUGUAUACAAAUGAUAUUUUACCAAGACAUAUUUAUGUUGGAAGUUUUUCUUUUAUUCACGCUUCCCUCUCCUAAACAGAUUAAACAAGUUCGCAUGUUGUAUUACAAAUAUAUUUUACCAAGGCAUAUUAUAUGUGGAAGUGUUUCCUUUUAUUUACGCCCCCUCUUCCCUGAACAGAUAAAACAAGUCAUGUUGUAUUACAAAUGAUUAUUUACCAAGCAUAUUUAGUUGGAAAGUUUUUCUUUUAUUUUCCCCGCUCUCCCCUAACCAGAUUAAACAAGUCCAGUUGUAUACAAAUGAUAUUUUUACCAAGGCAUAUUUAUGUUGGAAGUGUUUGUCUUUUAUCUACGCUCCCUCUCCCUUACAGAUUAAACAAGUUUCAUGUUGUAUACAAUAUAUUUUACCAAGGCAUAUUUAUGUUGGAAGUUUUUCUUAUUAAUUACGCCCCUCUUCCUACAGAUUAAACAAGUCCAUGUGUAUACAGAAUGAUAAUUUUUACAACUUGAAGCAUAUUUAUGUUGGAAGUGUUUUCUUUUAUUUCCCCGCUCUCCCUUAACAGAUUAACAAGUCCAUGCUGUAUACAAAUGAUAUUUACCAAGGCAUAUUUAUGUUGGAAGUGUUUUCUUUUAUUUACGCCCCUGCUCCCUAACAGAUUAAACAAGUCCAGUGUGUAUACAAAUGAUAUUUACCAAGGCAUAUUAUGUUGGGGAAGUGUUUUCUUUUAUUUACGCUCCCUCUUCCCUAACAGUAUUAAACAGUCCAUUGUUGAUAACAAAUGAUAUUUUACUAAGGCAUAUUUAUGUUGGAAGUGUUUUCUUUUAUUUUUACGCUCCCUCUUCCCUAAACAGAUUAAACAAGUCCAUGUGUUGUAUACACAUGAUAUUUAUACCAAGGCACAGCUUAUGUUGAAUGUUUUCUUUUAUUUACGCCCCGUCUCCCUAAACAGAUUAAAAAAGUCCAUGUUGUUAUACAAAUGAUAUUUACCAAGGCAUAUUAUGUUGGAAGUGUUUUCUUUUAUUUACCCCUCUCCCUAACAGAUGAAAAAAGUCCUAUGUUGUAUACAAAUGAUAUUUCCAAAGCAUAUUUAUUUGGGAAGUGUUUUCUUUUAUACCCCCCUCUUGCCCUAACAAGAUGUAAACAAUUCCAUGUUGUAUACAAAUGAUAUUUUACCAAGGCAGAUUUAUGUUGGAAGUGUUUUCUUUUAUUUACGCUCCCUCCCCCUAACAGAUUAAACAAGUCCAUGUUGUAUACAAAUGAUAUUUUACCAAGGCAUAUUUAUGUUGGAAGUGUUUUUUUUUCUUUACGCUCCCUCUCCCUAACAGAUUAAACAAGUCCAUGUUGUAUACAAAUGAUAUUUUACCAAGGCAUAUUUAUGUUGUGGAAAGUGUAUUGUGUAUAUACGCUCCCUCGUCCCUAACAGAUUUAAAACAAGUCCAAGUGUAUACAAAUUGGAUUUUACCAAGACAUAUUUAUUUGUUGGAAGUGUUUUUCUUUUAUUUAACCUCCCUCUCCCUUACAGAUUAAACAAGCCAUGUUGUAUACAAAUAUAUUUUACCAGGCAUAUUUAUGUGGGAAGUUGUUUUCUUUAUUUUACGCCCCCUCUCGCCUAACAGAUAAACAAGUCCAUUGUAUACAAAAUUAUUUUACCAAGGCAUAUUUAUGUUGCAAGUGUUUUCUUUUAUUUUACGCUCCCCUCUCCUAACCAGAUUAAACAAGUCCAUGUUGUAUUACAAAUGAUAUUUACCAAGGCAGAUUUAUGUUGGAAGUGUUUCUUUUAUUUACGGCUCCCUCUCCCUGAACAGAUUAAACAAGCCAUGUUGGUCAACAUGAUAUUUUACCAAGCGCAGAUUUAUGGGAAGUGUUUAUAUCAUUUAUUUACGCUCCCUCUUCCCUAACAGAUUAAAACAAGUCCAUGUUGUAUACAAAUGAUAUUUUACCAAGGCAGAUUUAUGUUGGAAGUGUUUUCUUUUAUUUACGCUCCCUCCCCCUAACAGAUUAAACAAGUCCAUGUUGUAUACAAAUGAUAUUUUACCAAGGCAUAUUUAUGUUGGAAGUGUUUUUUUUUCUUUACGCUCCCUCUCCCUAACAGAUUAAACAAGUCCAUGUUGUAUACAAAUG